rnacentral:lncRNA from 1 species
GAGAGCUAAAAGAAUAUAUUAAUUCAUAAUUGAAGACACUUGAGAGAGAGAGAGAGAGAGAGAGAGAGACCUGGGAAAUUAAACCAGCCAAAUCUUAUUUCAUAUCUAUCAAUUAUCACCAUUGGUGCACUUGUAAGACAGAGAAAAAGAAAAGAAAAAGUGCAUGCAUAUAUAAAUAUAACAAGAAAAAAAUACAAGAUGAAAGAGGAAGAAGAAGAAGAAGAGCAAAUGCCUGGCUUUCCCAUGUACGCCGCUAAAUCUUUUGCCCGGUGAAUUCUCCACGGGAAACACUCACACCAAAAAGCUAGACAUACAUAAAUGUCACCCCAAAAGAAACUAAGUAAUUUCUUCUUGCAAUUGAGAGUGCUCAUUUGUCAGAGACCAUGACAAUUUCUUCUUCUUGAUCUUCAUAACUUCUGGUCCUCAAUUGCUGCUCAGAGAAAACCCAAAAACAUGGAGGAAACAGAGAGUGAAAGACAGAUAUAAAAAGGCCAAAUGGGAAAGAGAGGGCAUGGAGAAGUUGUUCCCAAGAAGAUGACGAGCGUUUCCCGUUGAUGUUGUUUUCAAAGGAGCUCGUGGGUUUUAACUUUUCAAUUUUUUUUUUCUCAAAGGUGGGCCAGGACCAGGUGGUUGGAUAGGAAGGCCCUUUUUGUUUCACACGUUGGGGCUCUUCUUUUUGUCUUCCAGCUGCUGCUGCUUCUGCUGCUACAAAACAGUCGAAGAUUUAAGGGCUUUUAAAUGAUCUUCGUUUGCUUUUGUUCUUCCUCUUUGGUUUCCAUCUUGUCAACGAAACCAGCUUGAUUUAGGGAACAAUGUAAAUACAAGAUUUUC